GAAAAUAUUGGUUGAGACAAAGAUGAAAUAGGUUGAGAAAUGGGAGGUGGAUGGAUUGGUAAGAUCCUUUCAGAAACUAUAGAAUUAGAAACAAUAGGAUUGCUAGCUUUAGCAAGCUUAGCAGAAUUAGUAGUUUCAGAAGCUUUAGAGGAUUACUGAACAACACCAGAUAUGUCUUUCAUAAGCAUUGCUUUCUGGUGCUCACUGAGAGGCACCUCAUCUUCAUCCAGAAGGACAAAAACUUUC
rnacentral:lncRNA from 1 species